rnacentral:rRNA from 1 species
AUCGAUGAAGAACGUAGCGAAAUGCGAUACUUGGUGUGAAUUGCAGAAUCCCGUGAACCAUCGAGUCUUUGAACGCAAGUUGCGCCCGAAGCCAUCUGGCCGAGGGCACGUCUGCCUGGGCGUCACGCGUCUGUUCGCCCCCCCCUCAACACAUCC